GUCGAACGGUAACAGGAAACAGCUUGCUGCUUCGCUGACGAGUGGCGGACGGGUGAGUAAUGUCUGGGAAACUGCCUGAUGGAGGGGGAUAACUACUGGAAACGGUAGCUAAUACCGCAUAACGUCGCAAGACCAAAGAGGGGGACCUUCGGGCCUCUUGCCAUCGGAUGUGCCCAGAUGGGAUUAGCUUGUAGGUGGGGUAACGGCUCACCUAGGCGACGAUCCCUAGCUGGUCUGAGAGGAUGACCAGCCACACUGGAACUGAGACACGGUCCAGACUCCUACGGGAGGCAGCAGUGGGGAAUAUUGCACAAUGGGCGCAAGCCUGAUGCAGCCAUGCCGCGUGUAUGAAGAAGGCCUUCGGGUUGUAAAGUACUUUCAGCGGGGAGGAAGGGAGUAAAGUUAAUACCUUUGCUCAUUGACGUUACCCGCAGAAGAAGCACCGGCUAACUCCGUGCCAGCAGCCGCGGUAAUACGGAGGGUGCAAGCGUUAAUCGGAAUUACUGGGCGUAAAGCGCACGCAGGCGGUUUGUUAAGUCAGAUGUGAAAUCCCCGGGCUCAACCUGGGAACUGCAUCUGAUACUGGCAAGCUUGAGUCUCGUAGAGGGGGGUAGAAUUCCAGGUGUAGCGGUGAAAUGCGUAGAGAUCUGGAGGAAUACCGGUGGCGAAGGCCGCCCCCUGGACGAAGACUGACGCUCAGGUGCGAAAGCGUGGGAAGCAGACAGGAUUAAAUACCCUGGUAGUCCACGCCAUAUAUGAUGUCGACCUGGAGGGUGGUGGCAUUGAUGCGCCGCUUUCCGGAUCUUAUGCGUUGACUUCGAGCGGCCGGGGGUAGCCGGGGCGGGACGGUUGAGGACUUCUAUUGAAUUUAUCGAGAGGUCCUGCCGAU
rnacentral:rRNA from 1 species